CCAGGAUGACACUCUUAACCUGCAAGCUGGGAGGGGAUCUGCUCUGAACAAAAUGGAAUAUUCGCUGUUUGUUCCACCUUACAUUUAUUUAGCAGGAACCAUUAUCAUCCAUCGAAAGCACACACAUUUACAGAAUAAGAUGAAUAAAGCAACAGCGUUUUGAAUAAGCAGCUCUUGUCUUAUUGCUUUGUCUGGAGGCAACAACGCACAGAGUGAAAAGCAAUCUCAUUACUUGUUACCUACUGGCGAUGACAGCACUGACAUGCGUAUACAUCAGCGAAAGACCCUGGAAUGCAUUUUAAUAGUGAUGAAAGCAUGAGUAAUGAGGAGCACUGCCUGCAGCAGCCUGCACUGCCUCCCCCCACCUGCUC